GAUGAACGCUGGCGGCGUGCCUAAUACAUGCAAGUCGAACGGACGGACGCUAAGCUUGCGUCUCUGAUGUUUGCGGCGGGCGGGUGUGUAACACGUGGAUAACCUACUUCUAUUACGGGGAUAAUUACGUGAAACCGGAUCUAAUACCAGAGAAUAUUUUGAACCGCAUGGUUCAAAAGUUAAUGACGGUCUUGCUGUCACUUAUAGAUGGUUCCGCGCUGCAUUAGCUAGUUGGUAAGGUAACGGCUUACCAAGGCAACGAUGCAUAGCCGAACUGAGAGGGUGAUCGGCCACACUGGAACUGAGACACGGUCCAGACUCCUACGGGAGGCAGCAGUAGGGAAUCUUCCGCAAUGGGCGAAAGCCUGACGGAGCAACGCCGCGUGAGUGAUGAAGGUCUUCGGAUCGUAAAACUCUGUUAUUAGGGAAGAACAUAUGUGUAAGUAAAUGUGGCCAUCUUGACGGUACCUAAUCAAAAAGCACCGGCUAACUACGUG
rnacentral:rRNA from 1 species